UGAGCUUGAUCCUGGCUCAGGAUGAACGCUAGCGGCAGGCUUAACACAUGCAAGUCGAGGGGUAGAGUUCUUCGGAGCUUGAGACCGGCGCACGGGUGCGUAACGCGUAUGCAAUCUACCUUUUACAGAGGGAUAGCCCAGAGAAAUUUGGAUUAAUACCUCAUAGUAUAUAGACCUGGCAUCAGGAUUAUAUUAAAGUCACAACGGUAAAAGAUGAGCAUGCGUCCCAUUAGCUAGUUGGUAAGGUAACGGCUUACCAAGGCUACGAUGGGUAGGGGUCCUGAGAGGGAGAUCCCCCACACUGGUACUGAGACACGGACCAGACUCCUACGGGAGGCAGCAGUGAGGAAUAUUGGACAAUGGGCGCAAGCCUGAUCCAGCCAUGCCGCGUGCAGGAUGACGGUCCUAUGGAUUGUAAACUGCUUUUAUACGAGAAGAAACACUGAUUCGUGAAUCAGCUGACGGUAUCG
rnacentral:rRNA from 3 species